rnacentral:rRNA from 1 species
GAUGAACGCUGGCGGCGUGCCUAACACAUGCAAGUCGAACGGAAAGGCCCGGCUCUUGUGGGGUUCUCGUGUGGCGAACGGGGGAGUAUCACGCGAGUAACCCGUCCCUGUCUUUCGGAUAACACCAGGAAACUGGGGCUAAUAUACGAUAGGAGCUCCUGCUGCACGGUGGGGGUUGGAAAGUUUCGCCGGUUGUGGCUGGUCUCGCGGCUUAUGCGCUUGUUGGUGGAGUAGUGGCUUACCAAGGGUACGACGGAUAGCCGGCCUGGGAGGGUUAACGGCGACAAUAGGACUAAGAGACGGACCAGACGGCUACGGGAGGCAGCGGGGGGGAGUAUUGCACAAUAGGCGGAAGCCUGAUGCGGCAGCGCCGCGUGCGGGAUGACGGCCUUCGGGUUGUAAACAGCUUUCGCCGGAGACGAGGCGUGAGUGACGGUAAUGGAUAAGGAAGCACCGGCUAACUACGUG